rnacentral:rRNA from 1 species
ACUAAAACCUCCCAACAGCUAGCUCACCACUCCAAACUCAACAAAUAAACAUUAAUUUAAGCCCAAAAACCCCAAAAAAACCAAACAAACCAUUUUUCCCCCUUAGUAUAGGCGAUAGAAAAGGGAUAAGACGCAAUAGAAAAAGUACCGCAAGGGAAAGCUGAAAGAGAAAUGAAACAACCCAGUAAAGAGAAAAAAAGCAGAGACUAAUCCUCGUACCUUUUGCAUCAUGAAUCAGCCAGAAACCUUCAAGCAAAGUGCACUUUAGUUUGAACCCCCGAAACUGAGCGAGCUACUCCAAGACUGCCUAUUAGGGCUAACCCGUCUCUGUGGCAAAAGAGUGGGAUGAGCUUAGAGUAGAGGUGACAGACCUAACGAGCCCAGUUAUAGCUGGUUACCUACAAAAUGAACAGAAGUUCAGCCUUUUAUCUUCUUUAUUCAACCCUGAUAUAUAUCCAAAACUGAUACCAAGAAGCUCAAAGAGUUAUUCAAGGGGGGUACACCCCCCUUGAAAAAAGAUACAACUUUUUAAGAAGGCUAAAGAUCAAAAACCAAAAGGCAACAUACCUUAGUAGGCCUAAAAGCAGCCACCCACACAGAAAGCGUUAAAGCUCAAGUACCUUGCCCCACCCCAAAUACUGACACCCCCAUCUUAAGCCCCUAACUUAAUAGUAGGCCCUCUUAUGCAAACAUAAAAGAGACACUGCUGACAUGAGUAAUAAGGGGGCCAAGACCCCCUCCAAGGCACCUGUUUACAUCAGAACGAACCCACACUGAAAAUUAACGCCCCCAACCCCAGAGGGAAAUGAGAAAACUAACCUAACCUAGAAAACCUCCCAAAACCUCAGCGUUAACCCCACACAGGUGUGCCCAAGGAAAGACUAAAAGAAAAAGAAGGAACUCGGCAAACACUGGCCUCGCCUGUUUACCAAAAACAUCGCCUCUUGCAUACAAACAUAUAAGAGGUCCCGCCUGCCCUGUGACUUGUUAGUUUAACGGCCGCGGUAUUUUGACCGUGCGAAGGUAGCGUAAUCACUUGUCUUUUAAAUGGAGACCAGUAUGAAUGGCAUAACGAGGGCCAAGCUGUCUCCUUUUUCCAGUCAAUGAAAUUGAUCCCCCCGUGCAGAAGCGGGGAUACAUACAUAAGACGAGAAGACCCUAUGGAGCUUUAGACAAAAGACAGCCCAUGUUAAAACCCCAGAUUAAUGAAAAUAACAAAAUGGUGUCUGCCCUUCUGUCUUUGGUUGGGGCGACCGCGGGGAAACAAAAAACCCCCAUGUGGAAUGGGAAAAAUUCCCUUAAAGCCAGAGCCACAGCUCUCACUAACAGAACAUCUGACCAAAAAGAUCCGGCUAAGCCGAUCAACGGACCAAGUUACCCUAGGGAUAACAGCGCAAUCCCCUUUUAGAGCCCAUAUCGACAAGGGGGUUUACGACCUCGAUGUUGGAUCAGGACCCCCUAAUGGUGCAGCCGCUAUUAAGGGUUCGUUUGUUCAACGAUUAAAGUCCUACGUGAUCUGAGUUCAGACCGGAGAAAUCCAGGUCAGUUUCUAUCUAUGCUGUGCUCUUUUCUAGUACGAAAGGACCGAAAAGAGAGGGCCCAUGCUCAAAGUAAGCCCUGCCCCCACCUAAUGAAACCAACUAAAUUAGGUAAGAGGACACCCCCCCCCCUCCCCAGAGAAAAAGGCAA